AGACGUUUCCACCGCAAGAAAACCCCGGCACUGCUCUUCAAGCUAGAUAUCAAGAAAGCCUUCGACUCUAUUCGUUGGGACUAUCUUCUUGACCUUCUUCAGCACCUUGGUUUUCCUCCACGCUUUCGAGGAUGGAUCUCAACUCUCCUUUCCUCGGCUUCGUCGCGAGUUCUGCUCAAUGGGGUUCCUGGCACUCCUAUCAAGCUUGGGAAGGGUUUGAGACAAGGAGAUCCUUUAUCCUCACUCCUUUUUGUGCUGGCCAUAGACUCACUACAUCACAUUCUCAAGAAAGUCACUGCUCAAGGAAAGCUGCACCCUCUUGGUGGCAAUGCCAUGCCUAUCCGAGCCUCCCUCUACGCGGAUGACGCGGCGGUUUUCCUUGCGCCCAUCAAAACCGAGGUCAAGUUUUUUGCGGAUACGCUUGCACAGUUUGGGGAAGUGACGGGGCUAACAACGAACUGCUCUAAAAGUCUUGUUGCCCCCAUUCGAUGUGACUCCUUGGAUCUUGAUGAUAUACUCAGCUCCUUCCCCUCCAACCGCACCUCCUUCCCAAUGAAAUAUCUUGGGCUACCGUUGUCAACCAAGAGGCUCAAAACAAUCCAUUUUCAGCCUCUCGAAGAUAAGAUUGCUGCUCAACUUACCCCUUGGAUGGGCAAGCAUGUUGCGUAG
rnacentral:rRNA from 1 species